GCAACGUCAGUCUUCAUGAUGAAUAAAAAUAUCCCUAUGCCAUAAAGUUCUGCCUGGCAUACUGCAGAAGCAUUGCUGUAUUUUACCUGACCGGAACACAGGUAAACUUCUUUCU
rnacentral:lncRNA from 1 species